AACUCCUCAACUUGCCUUUGAAGGUCCUUUGUCUCCUCGGGAUUAAUUCUAUAGACUGGUUUGUUUGGAAUUGAGGCACUGGGUAUGAAAUUGAUUUGAUGUUCAAUACCUCCAAUGGGUGGCAAUCCAUUAGGUAUCUCCUCCGGAAAGACGUCUUCAUAUUCCUGCAAAAGAGAAACAAACACACUAGGCAAAAGAAACAUUAAGGUCAGCCUUGUUUGCAUCGUUCAACUUAUCCCACCAAGUUAGUGCAUAACCUUAGAAUUCAAGAGAUGCAAGUUUUACCUUUUUUUUUUUCCGAGUAGUUGUGGAUUGAAAAGACUUUUUCCACCUUUGCUUCCCACUCCAAGUAUGAUUCGGGAUCAUUUCUGCCUUGAAAUGUAGGAAUGGUCAUUUUGAUGCUUUUGAGAUUGUCAUCAACUCUACCUCUAUUCCAUCUCCUCCUACUUCCUUGGGAUAUUUCGGAUUGAACCCCUUCAUCAUAUUCAUGCCUACUUGCAUUCCUUUGCAAAUUUGCUUCGAGUUGAUCCAGGCGCUCCAUCAUCGUCUCCAUUGUUUGAUUGAAUUGUCUCAACAAUUGUUGUCUCUAAGCCUUUUCUUCAAAGCUUUCUUGUGGUGCCUCCAUUUCUGUUGUAUCCAUAGGAAAUGAAAAGUUUAAAUCCUCACACCCUUGUUUCCCUUCCUAAAAUGUCAUUCCUCAGAUAUAAUUCUCUACUUAAUAUAGUGGGGGAUAGAUUCACUCGUUUCUUACCACUCUUUUCCUUGUUUCAAGCCUUUAAGAUUUGUUCAAGUCUUACAAAUGCUAAAACA
rnacentral:lncRNA from 1 species